AUGUAUUACAAUGUGUUUAGCUUGCCAACGCUUUUGUGCAAAAUAAGUGGAAAACUUACUAAGAGCUUGGGUCGUCCUGCGCCCGUCACCCAUGAGAAACUUGGUGGGCCUCACAACAGUAGCACGGCCGCAUGUGUAGCCCGGGCCUGGGGUCUUAAGAGUGAAGUUUUUGGGCACCUUAACCGUCUUAUUAGUAGUCCCAGCAAGACCUACACUGAUCUGGAAGGAGGAGGCAGCAUUUGCCGGGUCCUGGUUAAACGUACUUAUAACCCCUCCCUUGCAGCAGUUGGCGACUUGGUCUUUGUACGGCGUUCCCGGGAGAAGGUCGAUGACGGUCGGAUCUCUCUUGCAGCAAUGGGGAGGGUUGGUCUUGAACUUGGAGCAGUCGCCCUGCUCGGUGGUCUGGGCCCCCACCAUGGACCAGAUGACCUCCUUCUUGGCCCACGUCCACCCCAGCUGCCACCCGGGCGCCGAUAUGUGCCGGAACUGCUGGUAGUUGUAUAUUGUGACCAUUGCCUGCACAUGACAAGUUUGGAAGAAGGAAAUCAUGAUACAGAUGAGAGCUGGGCCCAAGGACGUUUCAACCAACUAAUUGGCUUAAGAAUCAGCUUGAGGCUCAAGAUAGUAGCAGGACCUAUUGUACACUGCGGCUUAAGUUCUUUCAAUUUAUGA
rnacentral:rRNA from 1 species